CCUACGGGGGGCAGCAGUAGGGAAUUUUCGGCAAUGGGGGGAACCCUGACCGAGCAACGCCGCGUGAGGGAGGAAGUAUUUCGGUAUGUAAACCUCUGUUAUAAAGGAAGAACGGUGCAUGUAGGGAAUGACAUGCAAGUGACGGUACUUUAUGAGGAAGCCACGGCUAACUACGUGCCAGCAGCCGCGGUAAUACGGAGGGUGUAAGCGUUGUCCGGAAUCAUUGGGCGUAAAGAGUUCGUAGGUGGCAUAUUAAGUCUGGUGUUAAAUGCAGAAGCUCAACUUCUGUUCGGCACUGGAUACUGGUAAGCUUGAAUGCGGUAGAGGUAAAGGGAAUUCCUGGUGUAGCGGUGAAAUGCGUAGAUAUCAGGAGGAACAUCGGUGGCGUAAGCGCUUUACUGGGCCGUAAUUGACACUGAGGAACGAAAGCCGGGGUAGCAAAUGGGAUUAGAUACCCGGGUAGUC
rnacentral:rRNA from 1 species